rnacentral:lncRNA from 1 species
AUUUGGGGCCUAAGGCAAUAGUUUCGGUUUACCCUAGAGCAUCAGAAGACCAAAAACGAAACCUCCCUUCCCACUCACGAUCUCGUCUUCUUCAUGCCCCACCGAAACGACCCCUGAACUUCUUCUUUUUCGCUCCAAAAACAGAAGCAACGGGCGAGUUUGAGUUCGAGUUUUUUUCGUUGAAGUCAGUCGAUCGAGUUUGAGUAAGUCGAUUUUAGUCAAAGUUCCAUUUCGUUGGCGAUUGAACACUAUUGGUUCUGAGAGGUUUGAAGCCGUCGCUGCCCGAGGUUUGCCGAUCGGGGUCUAUUCAAGGCUUUGGUUUCCUAUUGUUGCCGUUCGUUUUGAGUUUUCCAUUGCGGAUUCUGUUUGUAUUUACUGCCACAAUCAAUCGAAGCUCCAGGCCCCUCUCUUUCUCUUGAUGUUAAUUAAAGUAUGAUGGUGGACUGAAUUUGGUUUGUCAAUCACUCACCUCUGUUUGUUUUCUGUUUUUACAUGUGAAUCGAGUCUUGAAAUCUUCCGUUCUGCAGUUUGAUAUGAAUUUGUCCGGUGUCUUUUUCCUAUUUCCCUCUGUUUACUUAUAAUCACGUCUGAGAGCUUUUAGUUAUUAAGCUCAUACUUGGUAUGCUUUUGUGCAAUUGUUAUGUUUUUAGCAUAACUCGUCAUCAAAAUAGUUUAAUUUUCUUUCUGUUAAUAUAUAUCUCGAACGUAGAUCCGAGGUGUAAUGUUGUCAAUUUGUGGAUUGUUUCCGUUUUCUUGGCUUCUUAUAGUAUUUUAACUGUUCCAAGUUAUAGUACAGUGGUUUGGAAGGAUGAGAUAUCUGUUUGGAGCUUUUGCUGUUGGAAAUCCAAUCCAUUUUUGUUUUCUGCAAUUUCCAUGGCUAUUAACGACUACUUGUUCAAGCUGUU